rnacentral:lncRNA from 1 species
GACAGGCUGGGCUCAGUGGCUCACACCUGCAGUACGAGCACUUUGGAGGCCGAGGCAGGAGGAUCACUUGAAUUCAGGAGUUUGACACCAGCCUGGGCAACAUAGGAAAGCCAGCUACAAUAUUGUGAGCAGCCCUUCAUGCAGGUCCUCAUGGUGAGAAACUGAAGCCUCUUGCCAACAGCCACGAGAGUGAGGUUGGAGGUGGAUCUUCCAGCCCCAAUUAAAGCCUUCAGGUGAUUGCAGCCCCAGCCAACAUUGACUGCAACCCAUGAGAGAGUCUGAGCCAGAACCACCCAGCUAAAUUGCUUCCUAAUUCCUCCCCACAGAAACUGUGACAUAAUAAAUGCUUAUUGUUUUAAGCCA